UGAACACCCUGGUUGACAUUUGCUCUCUCUGAUCAUAGGCAGUUUGUUAUUUGAAUAAUUAUGGGGUGGAUUUCGAAGGAGGACUCUUUCACUUUCACGAUGGGGAACCCUCAACAAUUGUGCCCAUGGCUGGCGAUGUUGUUAUGUAUACAGCAGACAGCAAAAAUAUUCAUUCUGUUGAUGAGGUAGGUCUCUCUCUCUUCAUUCUAUCUUUUCUUUUCUCUCAUGCUUGGUUGUGUUUUUCAGAAUUAGUUGUCACAUUAUUAAUGCUCCAACUUUUAUGUGGCUAAGAUACAAAAAGUAAUUUAAGUUUUUAUCUAAAAGGGGGAUCAAAGGAUAGAGUACUUGAAUUGUUAGACUGUACUUGUUGGUUUUGAACGGAUUUACCAUCCUCCUUUUGGAGCUGGUCGAAUGAAGUUCAUGACAAAAAUUAUAUCAC